GGGUGAGUAAUGUAUCGGAACGUACCAUUCAGUGGGGGAUAACGUAGCGAAAGUUACGCUAAUACCGCAUAUUCUGUGCGCAGGAAAGCAGGGGAUCGCAAGACCUUGCGCUGAUUGAGCGGCCGAUAUCAGAUUAGCUAGUUGGUGAGGUAAAAGCUCACCAAGGCGACGAUCUGUAGCGGGUCUGAGAGGAUGAUCCGCCACACUGGAACUGAGACACGGUCCAGACUCCUUCGGGAGGCGGCAGUGGGGAAUUUUGGACAAUGGGGGCAACCCUGAUCCAGCCAUGCCGCGUGAGUGAAGAAGGCCUUCGGGUUGUAAAGCUCUUUCAGCCGGGAAGAAAAUGCAUGGGUUAAUACCCUGUGCAGAUGACGGUACCGGAAUAAGAAGCACCGGCUAACUACGUGCCAGCAGCCGCGGUAAUACGUAGGGUGCGAGCGUUAAUCGGAAUUACUGGGCGUAAAGCGUGCGCAGGCGGUUUUGUAAGACAGGCGUGAAAUCCCCGGGCUUAACCUGGGAACUGCGUUUGUGACUGCAAGGCUAGAGUACGGCAGAGGGGGGUGGAAUUCCACGUGUAGCAGUGAAAUGCGUAGAGAUGUGGAGGAACACCAAUGGCGAAGGCAGCCCCCUGGGUCGAUACUGACGCUCAUUCACGAAAGCGUGGGUAGCAAACAGGAUUAGAUACCCUGGUAGUCCACGCCCUAAACGAUGUCAACUAGGUGUUGGGAGGGUAAAACCUUUUAGUACCGUAGCUAACGCGAGAAGUUGACCGCCUGGGGAGUACGGCCGCAAGGUUAAAACUCAAAGGAAUUGACGGGGACCCGCACAAGCGGUGGAUGAUGUGGAUUAAUUCGAUGCAACGCGAAAAACCUUACCUACCCUUGACAUGUCAGGAACUUUCCAGAGAUGGAUUGGUGCCCGAAAGGGAACCUGAACACAGGUGCUGCAUGGCUGUCGUCAGCUCGUGUCGUGAGAUGUUGGGUUAAGUCCCGCAACGAGCGCAACCCUUGUCGUUAAUUGCCAUCAUUUAGUUGGGCACUUUAACGAGACUGCCGGUGACAAACCGGAGGAAGGUGGGGAUGACGUCAAGUCCUCAUGGCCCUUAUGGGUAGGGCUUCACACGUCAUACAAUGGUCGGUACAAAGGGUCGCCAACCCGCGAGGGGGAGCCAAUCCCAUAAAGCCGAUCGUAGUCCGGAUUGUAGGCUGCAACUCGCCUGCAUGAAGUCGGAAUCGCUAGUAAUCGUGGAUCAGCAUGUCAC
rnacentral:rRNA from 1 species